AGAGCGAACGCUGGCGGCAGGCCUAACACAUGCAAGUCGAGGGGCCGUAGCAAUACGGCACCGGCAGACGGGAGAGUAACACGUGGGAACGUGCCCAUCAGUUCGGAACAACCCAGGGAAACUUGGGCUAAUACCGGAUACGCCCUUACGGGGAAAGAUUUAUCGCUGAUGGAGCGGCCCGCGUCUGAUUAGCUAGUUGGUGAGGUAACGGCUCACCAAGGCGACGAUCAGUAGCUGGUCUGAGAGGAUGAUCAGCCUCACUGGGACUGAGACACGGCCCAGACCCCUACGGGAGGCAGCAGUGGGAAUAUUGGACAAUGGGCGCAAGCCUGAUCCAGCCAUGCCGCGUGGAUGAUGAAGGCCUUAGGGUUGUAAAAUCCGUUUCGGCGGGGAAGAUAAUGACGGUACCGCAGAAGAAGCCCGGCUAACUUCGUGCCAGCAGCCGC
rnacentral:rRNA from 1 species